AUUGAACGCUGGCGGCAGGCCUAACACAUGCAAGUCGAGCGAGCGGCGGACGGGUGAGUAAUGUCUGGGAACCUGCCCGAUGGAGGGGGAUAACUACUGGAAACGGUAGCUAAUACCGCAUACCAUCAGAUCUGCCCAGAUGGGAUUAGCUAGUAGGUGGGGUAACGGCCCACCUAGGCGACGAUCCCUAGCUGGUCUGAGAGGAUGACCAGCCACACUGGAACUGAGACACGGUCCAGGCGCCUACGGGAGGCAGCAGUGGGGAAUAUUGUACAAUGGGCGCAAGCCUGAUGCAGCCAUGCCGCGUGUGUGAAGAAGGCCUUCGGAUUGUAAAGCACUUUCGGCGGGGAGGCGUUACCCGCAGAAGAAGCACCGGCUAACUCCGUGCCAGCCGCCGCGGUAAUAC
rnacentral:rRNA from 1 species